rnacentral:rRNA from 1 species
CAGAACGAAGCGCUGGCGGCAUGCUUGACACAAGCAAGUGGAACGCUGUGGUGGAUCUGGCCAUCAGGGAGUGGCGCAGAGGGUGAGUAGGGCGUGCGAGCAUGCCUUUCAGCCGGGGGAUAACCGCGGGAAACUGCGGCUAAUACCGCAUACGUCCGGGGCGAAAGCUUCGCGGAAAGAUUUAUCGAUGAAAGAGGGGCCCGCGUCGGAUUAGCUGGUGGAGGGGUUUCUCCCUCCCAAGGGGGGAAAAAGUAGCUGGUCUGAGAGGAUGAUCAGCCACAUUGGG